rnacentral:rRNA from 1 species
GGGUGCGAUCAUACCAGGACUAAUGCACUGGAUCCAAUCAGAAAUCCACAGUUAAGCGUGCUUGGUUGAGAAUGUACUAGGAUGGGUGACCUCCUGGGAAGUCCUCGUGUUGCACCCC